rnacentral:lncRNA from 1 species
CGUGUAGGGCUCUGUACUGUAAGAUGUAAUGUAGGGCUCUGUACUGUAAGAUGUAGUCUAGGGCUCUGUACUGGAAGAUGUAGUGUAGGGCUCUGUACUGUUAGAUGUAGUCUAGGGCUAUGUACUGGAAGAUGUAGUCUAGGGCUCUGUACUGUUAGAUGUAGUGUAGGGCUCUGUACUGGAAGCUGUAGUGUAGGGCUCUGUACUGGAAGCUGUAGUGUAGGGCUCUGUACUGUAAGAUGUAAUGUAGGGCUCUGUACUCUAAGAUGUAGUGUAGGGCUCUGUACUGGAAGCUGUAGUGUAGGGCUCUGUGCUGUAAGAUGUAGUAUAGGGCUCUGUAGUGUAGGGCUCUGUACUGGAAGCUGUAGUCGUUGGCUCUGUACUGUAAGAUGUAGUCUAGGGCUCUGUACUGUAAGAUGUAGUGUAGGGCUCAGUACUGUAAGAUGUAGUGUAGGGCUCUGUGAUGUAAGAUGUAGUCUAGCGCUCUGUAGUGUAGGGCUCUGUACUGGAAGCUGUAGUCGUUGGCUCUGUACUGUAAGAUGUAGUCUAGGGCUCUGUACUGUAAGAUGUAGUGUAGGGCUCAGUACUGUAAGAUGUAGUGUAGGGCUCUGUACUGUACGAUGUAGUCUAGGGCUCUGUACUGUAAGAUGUAGUCUAGGGCUCUGUACUGUAAGAUGUAGUCUAGGGCUCUGUACAGUUAGAUGUAGUGUAGGGCUCUGUACUGGAAGCUGUAGUGUAGGGCUCUGUACUGUAAGAUGUAGUGUAGGGCUCUGUACUGUAAGAUGUAUUGUAGGGCGCUGUACUGGAAGCUGAAGUGUAGGGCUCUGUACUGUAAGAUGUAGUCUAGGGCUCUGUACUGUAAGAUGUAGUCUAGGGCUCUGUACUGGAAGCUCUAGUCUAGGGCUCUGUACUGUAAGAUGUGGUGUAGGGCUCUGUACUGGAAGCUGUAGUGUAGGGCUCUGUACUGUAAGAUGUAGUCUAGGGCUCUGUAGUGUAGGGCUCUGUACUGGAAGCUGUAGUGUAGGGCUCUGUACUGUAAGAUGUAGUGUAGGGCUAUGUAUUGUAAGAUAUAGUCUAGGGCUCUGUACUGGAAGCUGUAGUCGUUGGCUCUGUACUGUAAGAUGUAGUCUAGGGCUCUGUACUGUAAGAUGUAGUGUAGGGCUCAGUACUGUAAGAUGUAGUGUAGGGCUCUGUACUGUACGAUGUAGUGUAGGGCUCUGUACUGUAAGAUGUAGUCUAGGGCUCUGUACUGUAAGAUGUAGUCUAGGGC